AACGAACGCUGGCGGCGCGCCUAACACAUGCAAGUCGAACGAGAAGGCGUAGCAAUACGCUUGUAGAGUGGCGAACGGGUGAGUAAUACGUGGGUGACCUACCCUCGAGUGGGGAAUAACCCGCCGAAAGGCGGGCUAAUGCCGCGUACGCUUCCGUCCUCACGGGGACGGAAGGAAAGCUGUACCGUGGGUACGGCGCUCAAGGAUGGGCUCACGUCCUAUCAGCUUGUUGGUAGGGUAACGGCCUACCAAGGCUACGACGGGUAGCUGGUCUGAGAGGACGAUCAGCCACACUGGCACUGCGACACGGGCCAGACUCCUACGGGAGGCAGCAGUGAGGAAUACUGCGCAAUGGGCGAAAGCCUGACGCAGCGACGCCGCGU
rnacentral:rRNA from 1 species